rnacentral:rRNA from 1 species
AUUGAACGCUGGCGGCAGGCCUAACACAUGCAAGUCGAGCGAGCGGCGGACGGGUGAGUAAUGUCUGGGGUUCUGCCCGAUAGAGGGGGAUAACUACUGGAAACGGUGGCUAAUACCGCAUAAUAUCGGAUGAACCCAUAUGGGAUUAGCUAGUAGGGGGGGUAAAGGCUUACCAAGCCGGCGAUGGCUAGCUGGUCUGAGAGGAUGACCAGCCACACUGGUACUGAGACACGGCCCAGACUCCUACGGUAGGCAGCAGUGGGGAAUAUUGCGCAAGGGGGGCGACCCUGACGCAGCCAUGCCGCGUAAAUGAAGAAGGCCUUCGGGUUGUAAAGUUCUUUCGGUAGCGAGGCGUUAACUACAGAAGAAACACCGGCUAACUCCGUGCCAGCAGCCGCGGUAAUAC